UUCACUGCGCUGCAGCUUCUGCUGUGUACCUGCCAGCUCCUCACGCAACCACUGGUUCUCCUGUACCAGGCGCCGCACCUGAGCCCGCAGCUUCUGCUUCUCUGACUCCACAGCCCCCAGAUGGCUUGACAGUGCCAGGAUCACCUGUGCAGUCAGGCAGAAGAAGCACUCUGGCUGCUGAAGGGAAGAGAAGCAGCAUGUCCCCAAACAGUCUGAAGAACCAACCCAGGGACAGGUUCUGGGAUUACAGACAGCAUGCCCAGUGAGGAC